rnacentral:rRNA from 1 species
UACGAAGGGUGCAAGCGUUAUUCGGAAUCAUUGGGCGUAAAGCGCGCGCAGGCGGCUUAAUAAGUCAGGUGUGAAAUCUCGAAGCUCAACUUCGAAACUGCGCCUGAAACUAUUAGUCUAGAAUGUCGGAGGGGGCAGGGGAAUUUCACGUGUAGGGGUAAAAUCCGUAGAGAUGUGAAGGAACACCGGAGGCGAAGGCGCCUGCCUGGACGACUAUUGACGCUGAGGCGCGAAAGCGUGGGGAGCAAACAGG